rnacentral:rRNA from 1 species
UGCAUGUCUAAGUACAUGCCGUAUUAAGGCGAAACCGCGAAUGGCUCAUUAAAUCAGUUAUGGUUCCUUGGAUCGUACCUUACUACUUGGAUAACUGUGGUAAUUCUAGAGCUAAUACAUGCAGCAGAGCUCCGACCUUCGGGAACGAGCGCUUUUAUUAGAACAAAACCGACCGGACUCUGUCCGUACUUUGUGGUGACUCUGAAUAACUUUGGGCUGAUCGCACGGGCCCGUCCCGGCGACGUAUCUUUCAAGUGUCUGCCUUAUCAACUUUCGAUGGUAGGUUACGCGCCUACCAUGGUCGUAACGGGUAACGGGGAAUCAGGGUUCGAUUCCGGAGAGGGAGCCUGAGAAACGGCUACCACAUCCAAGGAAGGCAGCAGGCGCGCAAAUUACCCACUCCCAGAACGGGGAGGUAGUGACGAAAAAUAACAAUACGGGACUCUUUUGAGACCCCGUAAUUGGAAUGAGUACACUCUAAAUCCUUUAACGAGGAUCCAUUGGAGGGCAAGUCUGGUGCCAGCCGCCGCGGUAACUCCAGCUCCAAUAGCGUAUAUUAAAGUUGUUGCGGUUAAAAAGCUCGUAGUUGGAUCUCAGUUCCAGACGGGUGGUCCGCCUACCGGUGGUUACUGCCUGUUCUGAACAGCCAGCCGGUUUCUCUUGAUGAUCUUCACCGGUUGUCUUGGGUGACCGGCAAGUUUACUUUGAAAAAAUUAGAGUGCUCAAAGCAGGCGCGACGCCUGAAUAAUGGUGCAUGGAAUAAUGGAAUAGGACCUCGGUUCUAUUUUGUUGGUUUUCGGAACACGAGGUAAUGAUUAAGAGGGACAGACGGGGGCAUUCGUAUUGCGACGCUAGA